CGACGGUCGGGCGGCGGCGCUGGAGAUGGAGGAUCUCAUCCACAACUUCGUUUUGUUCGCAUCGAGCUCAACCGCAAAGAAAAGGAGAAGAGACUGACUACUCUAGGUCAUGUUAGUGGUUACUCUGGCGAUUUAAUGAUAUAAUUUGGCAUGUGAGAUCUUGGCAUCGACAUGGGUAAAGAAACUUCAGGAUCUUGAAUGCUCUCUGUACAUGCUAUGAAAUAAUUUGCUUAUAGUGCUAUUACACAUGAAUUUAUUCAGGUGAUGCCACUAAAGCCUGACUACGCUCUAAUUGAUUUCCAAUUUACAUGACAUACAUAUUUCUUAAAUAUGUGAAGUUGUUCUUUUAAUAUUGCAGCUUUUGAACAGAUAAUGCAGACUCUGAACUGAACUAAUAUUGGAAGGACUCAGAGAAGCCAUAACAGUGCUCUUUGCAUUCCUAAUUGAUCAGUACUCACAUAUAUCACUACCAUCAGAGAUGUUUUGACUACAUAUUUAGUUUCUGCUGCUAAAUUGAGAAUUUGAUGCUAUGAAGGUCUCGGUUCAUGUGCCCCUAUUAUUUGCAGGGAAGAAACAGAGAAAGGCAUGCUCGGGGACACUUGCACGUACUAGGAAUGUGCCCAUGCUCAUAGGCCUGCUUUGUUCCUUGCUUAGUUCCAGGAUUAGGAAUCUUGGAUGAUAAUUAUAAGAGUCGACGACACAGGAGCAUGGUCAAGUGAGAGGUAUGACAUGGGAGUACAAGAGAAUAGUGCUAUGCUGAACCUGUGCCUUGCAAGCUUCUAAUUGAAUUGGAGAAGCUGAAAGUGUGUUUAGUUGCUGCAAGGGGUGAGGUUUUUCUUCCUUGCUGGUUGGUUGGAUUUUUUUCAGUUUCUAUUAGUUGAUCUACAAUUCUUUCUUUCCUCAUAUAAUGAUUGGUGGGAAUAAUAAAUAAGAAAUGCUCUGCUAGAUGUGUGGCUUGUAGGUAGGGUUGCAAAUGCAGGAUCGCCCAUAUCAUUGUUUAGUCUAAGCAAAUUGUACUAUUUGGAACGGAAUCCGCCCCGCAUGUCCUGCCGCGUUGCAACCCUACUUGCGGCCAGGCAUAGUAGCACAAGAAGGAACUUAUGUUGGACAGUUCAUAGUGGGUUGAUUUCUGAAUCUGAAAUUAAAGAUAUGGAUGACGGCGCUAAUAACUAGAAGUUGUGCAAUCGUGCCGACUAUAUUCUUGGCUCUAUUCUAAUGCUUUCAAGAUAAGAGAAAAACUUACAAUGCAAUAUUUGGACUUAUUUUCCUUCUAACAUGUAUUGGAAAAUACAACCCAGCUUUCGUCUAAAGAAAUUUCUCUAUUUACACUAUGCUUAUCUGAGUGCAUACUUUGUGUUAUGCCUGUAAGAGGACAAGAUCUGGCACUCGGUGUUCUGCAUCGUGCAGAUUAUUUUAGUAAAAAUUACCCUAAAGUGGCACUUGGAGAUCUAUCACACCUUUAGAUGGUAUAACUUAGAGAAGGGGCAGGAAAGUCCCGUUAUGUGGUUUUCCAGUGAUAUUACUACAACCAACUGGCAUGCAUAUGACCCCAUUUGCAAUCUCUGUGAUGACAGAACACUAUAUAGUUGUUUUAGAUUCAGAGUGGAGAUGAUGUGUUGAUAGGUUCAGAAAGAUGAAGAAUCGAUCCUCUUUGCAGGAUCUCCUGGAGUCAACCGCCACUGCCACCCUUCUACAGCUUGGAUCGGGAACCAUCUUCGCCGAGCAUUAACUCUCCUAUGUGUACUCAUAUAAUGUCGUUAGUUAUUUUUCUUGCUGGGAUUAUAUAAUAUAUGUAUGAACUGUACGCUCUGUGGUCAUUCAUGCUUACAGUUGCGUUGAAGCCAUCUACCUGAGAUCUCAUGUAUGUAUAUAGGACCUCAUUACUAUUUAAUAUUAUAUAUCCCUAUUUCUCUACAUCUUGCCGACUACUUAAAACACUCAUAGAUCUCAUGUAUGUAUAUAGGACCUCAUUACUAUUUAAUACUAUUAUAUAUCCUUAUAUUCUCUACAUCUUGCCGACUACUUAAAACACUCAUAGAUCUCAUGUAUGUAUAUAUGACCUCAUUACUAUUUAAUAUUAUAUAUCCCUAUAUUCUCUACAUCUUGCCGACUACUUAAAACACUCAUAGAUAUAAUGGCUUUUGUUGACUAAGCUUUCUUGUACAUUGGGUUUGUACUGUAAGAGAUGGUGUAUUCCCUCUGUCCAAAAUUACGUGACACAGCUUAGUCUACACAGGAUGGAGGAAAUGCUUAUGAUUCCUAAAUAUAAUUAGCUUAUGAUGAAGUGUAUUACAAAAUGAUUAUAUGUGCGAAAGACCGGGGUAUCAUUCCUCAUUGCCGGGAUUCAACUAUGUGCAUACAUUUCAUUCUUCUUUGCCGAGUGCCUGGACUUCUAUGAGUUGAUCUUCUGAGUUGAUUUAUUAGUACCUCUUGAUGGUAAAAUUAACUGGUCUGAAAUAUGUAUCUAGAGUUUCAUGUAAAUCUUACUAAUCUUACUAAUCUUGAUUUCUAUUUUGUCGAUGUAAUGCAUAGUAGUGUUAUUUGUAUUGGGAUAUUCAAUUUUCAUUCCAUUUUUCAGAACCCUAGGACUAUCCACCUUAGUAAUUUUUUGAUACACCUGUUCUCUACACCUUAAUAAAUUUUUGAUACACCUGUGCUCUACACCUGUUGAGUACAUUAUGGAUACAAUGUUUUGGGGUAUUUUUAGCUUAUUUUUGUAUGUAAAUGGCCCUGUGGUAUUUUCACAGUUUUGAUUUUAAUUUGCAUCAUUCUUCAGUUUUUUAUUUGCGGAUUUUAGUCGUCCUCUGGAAUAAUUCCCUCGAGAUGAAGGGCUACUUUCCUCCCCCAUUUCAUGGUCUAACCAAGAUUUUUAUUCAGCUCGGUGUCUUGUUCUUGCCAAUUUUACUGUCAAACCAAACUGGUAAAUGCAUGUUUGUCUCAAAUGCUCAUACUCAACUAACUCUGUAUGCAAAAAAGAAAAGAAAUUCAGCUGCAAAUGGAAUUUCUUGAAACCAAACAGAAGGUAAUAAUUAUGUUCUCCGUUGUUGAGGUUGAUUCAUAGCCUUGUAUUUUAGAAACUUUAAACUUGGAUGCUCCUCAUCGGUUUCAGGAUUUGCAAACUUAUCUAACGUUAUAAUCACUCAUUUCUAACAUACUGAUAAGGGGAGAAAAAAGAAAUCAAGAUGUUCUUAAUCAAAUGAAAGUAAUUUCAAUUUCUUAUAGAUUAUUUCUUUCGUGUGCUUUUUCUUGCCCUCUACUAGCCUACAUUUAAAAUGGGUUCAUAUGAAAAGUUCAUAUGAAAAUCCAUAACAGCAUGUUGGAUAUAUUAUUACUACUAUUUUUGUAUUCCUUUCAUAGGUAUCAUCAUGGUAUUGACAUACUGUAGUGUUGCUCAAUUCCGUGUAGAUGCUCCUACAAUGGCGGUGUGAAGAGGAGAAAGAAUGAGGUGAUACAUGGCAGCAGCGGCGGGACAAGUUGUGUAAGAUAAUUGACACCUUCGCAUGGCCAUCCUAAUGGCUCGGUUAAAAAAUGUACAUACAAUUCAGUUUUCCUACUCAAAUUUCUGAGUACGGUGUCAUCUAAAUGGCAAUAACUACGUUUUCUAUCUUUGAGUUAUACAGGAUAUGAGCGCGCAUGUAGUCAUCAUUGAUGUGAGAUUUUUUAGUUCUUUUAUUCAGACUCAUUGGUCCAUGCGAUUUACAACUUCUUUGAAACUAUCUUACAUGCUUCCUUUUUCUUCUGUAUAUGCACAUAUCAUUAUUUGAUUGAGUUCCACUUUUGGAUUGGUGACACCAAGUCAUUGUCUCUCAUAAUUCAGUUUGAUGUUUCAUGUUCUCAUUAGGAAACUACUUGCAUUCACAUGCACUGUAUUUUGUUCAAAAUUAUCUUUUGAUUACUCAAUCUUUGUUUCGGGUCCUCCUGGAUGAUUCUAAUGUUGGUUACGCAGGGCAUGCUGAACCGGUGGUCUUUUCCUAUUAGAAAAUCCUUGAUUAGGCAACAUGUCCUGAGUGACCUUUAUAGUCAUCUCAACUGACCAGCCUUCAUGAUUCAGGUAAAGAAAGGUGAAUGGUGUUGCCGAUCACUCUGUGAAAUUUCUGAAGUUUCAAGAAAACAUGAGAUUUUUAAUGUUCCAGUAGUUGAGAUGUUUGAUAUUUAGUUCGUGCAUAUUGGUUCACCAUUCAUGUAAAAUCUACCGUAGUUUGGACAAUGAGCUUCUAGCCUGGUUGUUUGUUAGCCUUAUGGCUGAUGGUGAGCUUGCUAGCAGUUUCUGGUUGUACUCAAACAUUAUAGCUUCAUUCGGCACAUACAUGCUACCGUGGU